GACGAAGGGGGCUAGCGUUGCUCGGAAUUACUGGGCGUAAAGCGCGUGUAGGCGGCUGUUCUAGUUGGGCGUGAAAGCCUUGGGCUUAACCCAAGAAAUGCGCUCAAUACUGGAUAGCUAGAGGACCGGAGAGGAUAGUGGAAUUCCCAGUGUAGUGGUGAAAUACGUAGAGAUUGGGAAGAACACCAGUGGCGAAGGCGGCUAUCUGGACGGUUUCUGACGCUAAGACGCGAAAGCGUGGGGAG
rnacentral:rRNA from 1 species